AAAGAAAAUAACAAUGAUUCCCCUAGUAACUGCGAGUGAAGAGGGACAAGCUCAAAUUUUAAAUCUAUCGGGUUUUACCUGAUCGAGUUGUAAUUUGAAGAAGCGUUUUCUGCGUAUUUGGUCAGCCUAAGUCCUAUUGAAUGAGGCAUCAUGGAGGGUGAUAAUCCCGUCCGGUUGAUCAUUUGCGUUUUAUGAUACGCUCUCUAAGAGUCAAGUUGUUUGGGAUUGCAGCUUAAAAUGGGAGGUAAAUUUCUCCUAAGGCUAAAUAACGGCGAGAGACCGAUAGCGAACAAGUACCGUGAGGGAAAGAUGAAAAGAACUUUGAAAAGAGAGUUAAACAGUACGUGAAAUUGUUGAAAGGGAAACGAUUGAAGCCAGUCGUACCUUCGGGUAAUCAGCCUUUCGGGUGCGAUUCUGUGGAGUUUGAGGAGCUUAACACCUUCAUGCUUUGCAUAUUUGUGCUCUUGGGUGUACUUGCCCGUGUGGUUGGUUAACAUCAAUUUCGGACACCAUAAAAUGGCUGGAGGAAUGUAGCUUCGAUCUUGUAUUGAAGUGUUAUAGCCUUCGGUAGAUGUGGUGAUCGAGAUUGAGGAUUGCAACGGAUACCCUUCGGGGCUACCUGUCUGGUCUCUGAUCGUUGCUUUGGUGCUGAAAGCGUGCUUAUAGUUAUCAAAGUCGAUGGUCAAUAGGUUAGAAUGGGUUAAAUU
rnacentral:rRNA from 1 species